CCUACGGGAGGCAGCAGUGGGGAAUAUUGCACAAUGGGCGAAAGCCUGAUGCAGCGACGCCGCGUGAGGGAUGACGGCCUUCGGGUUGUAAACCUCUUUCAGUAGGGAAGAAGCGAAAGUGACGGUACCUGCAGAAGAAGCGCCGGCUAACUACGUGCCAGCAGCCGCGGUAAUACGUAGGGCGCAAGCGUUAUCCGGAAUUAUUGGGCGUAAAGAGCUCGUAGGCGGUUUGUCGCGUCUGCCGUGAAAGUCCGGGGCUCAACUCCGGAUCUGCGGUGGGUACGGGCAGACUAGAGUGAUGUAGGGGAGACUGGAAUUCCUGGUGUAGCGGUGAAAUGCGCAGAUAUCAGGAGGAACACCGAUGGCGAAGGCAGGUCUCUGGGCAUUAACUGACGCUGAGGAGCGAAAGCAUGGGGAGCGAACAGGAUUAGAUACCCUGGUAGUCCAUGCCGUAAACGUUGGGCACUAGGUGUGGGGGACAUUCCACGUUUUCCGCGCCGUAGCUAACGGCAUUAAGUGCCCCGCCUGGGAGUACGGCCGCAAGGCAAACUCAAGGAAUUGACGGCGNGAGNGCGACGACGACGACGAGAGGAG
rnacentral:rRNA from 1 species